GAUGAACGCUGGCGGCGUGCUUAAUACAUGCAAGUCGAACGCUAAUGAUUGCCGCUUGCUUCGGAUGCAUGAAUGCCUCACGCGUGAGAAUCAUGAGUAUCACCUGCCCCUGAUUUCCUUAUAACUGUGAUAACCUGAGUAUACCACGGCAUAUAACCAACUUUACUUUGAUGCGUGGUGAUAAAAUUUUACAGGUGGAUAUCUACCCCUUACCGAUCGGCCUGCUGCUCAUUAACUGGUUGAGCAGGAAAACGAUUACCAACGCGACUAUGAGUACCACACCUCACACUGUGAUUGACACCCCUGCAACAGACAUACGGUACGCACUCCUACGGAAUGUUGCACUAUGGAAUCAUCCCUGAUGCGCCAACGCCUGACGGAGCAUCACCGCCUGCGCGAUGAAAGUCUUCUUAUCUAAGAACAAUGUUGUUGAGGAACAGCGACUGUAAAAGAAACUGUUUAUUGUGUGACGGUACUUACCCAGAAAACCACGGCUAACUACGUGCCUGCCGCCGCUAUAGUACGUAAGUGGCUCGCAUUAUCCUGAAUUAUUGGGCGUAGAGCGCGCGUAGGUGGUUUGUCGCGUCUGAUGUGGAAUCGUGCCGCUUAAUGGUGCGCGUGCAGUGGGUACGGGCAGACUGGAGUGCAGUAGGGGAGUCUGGAAUUCCUGGUGUAGCGGUGAAAUGCGCAGAUAUCAGGAGGAACACCGGUGGCGAAGGCGGGACUCUGGGCUGUUACUGACGCUGAGGAGCGAAAGCAUGGGGAGCGAACAGGAUUAGAUACCCUGGUAGUCCAUGCCGUAAACGUUGGGAACUAGGUGUGGGGUCCAUUCCACGGAUUCCGCGCCGUAGCUAACGCAUUAAGUUCCCCGCCUGGGGAGUACGGCCGCAAGGCUAAAACUCAAAGGAAUUGACGGGGGCCCGCACAAGCGGCGGAGCAUGCGGAUUAAUUCGAUGCAACGCGAAGAACCUUACCAAGGCUUGACAUGCACUGGAAUCGCCUAGAGAUAGGUGCGCCCUUCGGGGCUGGUGUACAGGUGGUGCAUGGUUGUCGUCAGCUCGUGUCGUGAGAUGUUGGGUUAAGUCCCGCAACGAGCGCAACCCUCGUUCUAUGUUGCCAGCACGUGAUGGUGGGAACUCAUAGGAGACUGCCGGGGUCAACUCGGAGGAAGGUGGGGAUGACGUCAAAUCAUCAUGCCCUUUAUGUCUUGGGCUUCACGCAUGCUACAAUGGUCGGUACAGAGGGUGGCGAUGCCGUGAGGUGGAGCGAAUCCCUUAAAGCCGGUCUCAGUUCGGAUCGUAGUCUGCAACUCGACUACGUGAAGUCGGAGUCGCUAGUAAUCGCAGAUCAGCAACGCUGCGGUGAAUACGUUCCCGGGCCC
rnacentral:rRNA from 1 species